ensembl:lncRNA
UGCGGCAAAGUGCUGACAUGCUCCUUCCUGCCCUACUCACCCCUUUGUCCUGGCCUGUUUCUUAUCAGAUCCACGCCGCUCCCUCUUCAGCAAGUCUGGCACUCACAGACUGAGCCCUUGGCUCCUGGAGUCCCUGCUGAAUCCCGUCAGCGAAGGGCACUGGCAGAACAGAACUCAGUAGGAAGUGAGAGAGCGAGAGUACUUCCUUCCCUUCUCCUUCCACCUUGGCCAGCAUCUUCUGCAGAAGCUGUGUGUUCCCUGUGGCUGCCGCUGCCCUCAGGUUAAAGGCAGAGCCUUGAGAGGCACACACCUGUGUGGGAAUGAUUUCCUUCUUCUGAGUCCCUGCUAUCUCCUGGAGUCCAGGUUUCUUCCGAUUUGACAGGCAGAAGGCUGCCAGGCCACUAAGGUCAGCCUAAGCCACUGAUCACGUAUGGUUGUGAGACCUGGACCGUAGAGAAGGCUGAGCACCAAAGAAUUGAUGCUUUUGAACUUUGGUGCUGGAGAAGAGUCCUGAGAGUCCCUCAGACAACAAGAUCAAACCAGUCAAUCUUAAGGGAAAUCAACCCUGCACACUCAUCAGAAGGACUGAUGCUGAAGCUACAGUGUUUUGGUCACCGGAUGUGAACAGCCAACUCAUUGGAAAAGUCCCUGAUGCUGGGAAAGAUUGAGGGCAGAAGAAGAAGGGAGUGUCAGAGGAUGCAAUGGCUGGAUGGCAUCACUGAUGCAAUGGACGUGAACUUGGGCAAACUUCGGGAGAUGGUGAGGGACAGGGAGGCCUGGCGUGCUACAGUCCAUGGAGUCGCAAAGAGUCAGACAUGACUGUGUGACUAAACAACAGCAAGCCAGAGUGAUCUCAUUCUGCUCUGAAUUAAUACCACUUCCUCUCUGGUUAUCUAAUGUUAGUGCUAGUUUAUAAAUGUUCAUAGUAAGCGGUAAUUAUUACUGAUGUUUGCAG